AUAUCAAAUCUAGUCCUAAAUCACAAAGGUUUGGUUAGUCUGAAUCCUAAUGCAUAGUUACUCUUAGUAAAGGAUAUAUCCGAAAUUUCGUGGAUACAUAAGUACUUUCAAUAUAUUUCGUUCCACCGCUUCAGAAAACAGUGAAUUGCAAAAAUUGUUCGUAAACUGUUUCCCCCAUUUUCAAUUCAGCAAAUUACUCCACCAUUUCGUAAGUAAAAUUUAUCAAGUUUAUUCAUUUGUAAAUGUUAACAUACAUUUUGAACAUUUUUGAACAUUCCAUCAAAUCGGCAAAUUCGUCAAAUUGAUAGUCUCAUAUCAUCCACCACACCUGAACCUAUUGAGGUGCAAUUGAAAAGGUAAUAACCAAUGUAAUGUCCGACGAUCCUCAUGGGACAGCGUAAGGAAUUGGAUGGAAAUGGAUGUGUUUUUGGAUUUGGGGUUAGGGAGUCAGGGGAAUGUAUCACAAGAAGAAAGAGAAACCCCCGAAGAAUCUCCUUUCUAAGCUUGAAAUUCAGGAGGAAAUGAGUGAUGUGUUAGGUUUUAUACCCUCAUGUUGUAAGCAUGAGGGUAUAUUCAAUUUUGCAUGGCAAUUAUGCAUACUAUGUUUUUGGCGCGAAAAACGUGAUUGCAAAAAUUGAUUCUUAAUCAACUGUUUCCACAAUCAGCAACUAACUCACCAUUUCAAUGUGCCACCAAUUCGCGAAAUUCUUUAUCCCUUAACCACAACGUCCGACCCGAUUGAAACUGCAAUUCAAGAUGUCAUCAAACCCAUUACUGGGAUGCUGAUAAAAAAUCCUCACUGGACAUCAUAUGGGAUGUUUUUUUUUGGCCUUCUUUGGAUGGGGAAAGAGUUUGGGCCAAGGAUUUUUUACUACUGUAUGGAAAAGGCAACGGAAUGGCAUAACAAAAUCAAAAAGAAAUCCCAACCUGCUGAAACUCUAGGGGAAAUGGUAGAUGUGUUGGCGGAGCAGGUUGCUAAAGGAAAAUUGUGACAUCUUUGAAAAAGCACUUGGAUGCUCAACUCAACUCAAUGAACGGAUGGAUUCAUGUUGCUUGUAUAGCAUAGGG